rnacentral:lncRNA from 1 species
GACUGAACUCUCUCUCUGUUCUUGGGUAUAGUAGCAGCCUCUCUCGCUCUGUUCUGCUGUGUCUGGGUAGUAGUUACAGCUCUCUCUCUGUUUCUGUUCUGGGUAGUAGUUACAGCUCUCUCUGUCUGGUAGUAGUAUUACAUCGCUAAAUACAGCUCUCUCUUGUUCUGGGUAGUUAUUACAGCUCUCUCUCUCUGUUCUGGGUAGUAGUUACAGCUCUCUCUCUCUGUUAUGGGUAGUAGUACGUUACGCUCUCCUCUCUGUUCUGGGUAGUAGGUACAGCUCCCUCAUCUCUCUCUCUUUGUUCUGGGUAGUAGUUACAGCUCUCUCUCUGUUCUGGGUAGUAGGUACAGCUCUCUCUCUCCUGUUCUGGGUAGUAGUUACAAGCUCUCUCUCUCUCUGUUCUGGUAGUAGUUACAGCUCUCUCUCUCUCUCGUUCUGUGUAGGAGUGACAGCCUUCUCUCUCGCUGUUCUGGGUAGUAGUUACAGCUCUCUCUCUCUGUUCUUCUGGGUAGUAGUUACAGCUCUCCUCUCUCUCUGCUCCUCUGUUCUGGGUAGUAGUUACAGCUCUCUCUCUGUUCUGGGGUAGUAGGUACAGCCUCUCUCUCUGUUUCUGGGUAGUAGUUACAGCUGCCCUUUCCGUAC